GACGAACGCUGGCGGCGUGCUUAACACAUGCAAGUCGAACGGAAAGGCCCUGCUUUUGUGGGGUGCUCGAGCGGCGAACGGGUGAGUAACACGUGAGUAACCUGCCCUUGACUUUGGGAUAACUUCAGGAAACUGGGGCUAAUACCGGAUAGGAGCUCCUGCUGCAUGGUGGGGGUUGGAAAGUUUCGGCGGUUGGGGAUGGACUCGCGGCUUAUCAGCUUGUUGGUGGGGUAGUGGCUUACCAAGGCUUUGACGGGUAGCCGGCCUGAGAGGGUGACCGGGCACAUUGGGCCUGCGAUACGGCCCAGAAUCCUACGGGAGGCAACAGUGGGGAAUAUUACACAAUGAGCGGACGCCUGAUGCAGCGACGCCGCGUGCGGGAUGACGGCCUUCUGGUUGUAAACCGCUUUCUCCUGAGACGAAGCCUGAGUGACGGUAAUGGGUAAAGAAGCACCGGCUAACUACGUG
rnacentral:rRNA from 1 species